UACAGAGGGGGCGAGCGUUGUUCGGAAUUACUGGGCGUAAAGGGCGCGUAGGCGGCCCUCUAAGUCGAACGUGAAAUCCCCGGGCUCAACCCGGGAACUGCGUCCGAUACUGGAGGGCUCGAAUCCGGGAGAGGGAUGUGGAAUUCCAGGUGUAGCGGUGAAAUGCGUAGAUAUCUGGAGGAACACCGGUGGCGAAGGCGGCAUCCUGGACCGAGAUUGACACUGAGGAGCGAAAGCCAGGGGAGCAAACGGG
rnacentral:rRNA from 1 species